rnacentral:rRNA from 1 species
UGGGGAAUUUUGGACAAUGGGGGAAACCCUGAUCCAGCCAUCCCGCGUGUGCGAUGAAGGCCUUCGGGUUGUAAAGCACUUUUGGCAGGAAAGAAACGUCAUGGGUUAAUACCCCGUGAAACUGACGGUACCUGCAGAAUAAGCACCGGCUAACUACGUGCCAGCAGCCGCGGUAAUACGUAGGGUGCAAGCGUUAAUCGGAAUUACUGGGCGUAAAGCGUGCGCAGGCGGUUCGGAAAGAAAGAUGUGAAAUCCCAGAGCUCAACUUUGGAACUGCAUUUUUGACUACCGGGCUAGAGUGUGUCAGAGAGAGGUGGAAUUCCGCGUGUAGCAGUGGAAUGCGUAGAUAUGCGGAGGAACACCGAUGGCGAAGGCAGCCUCCUGGGAUAACACUGACGAUCAUGCACGAAAGCGUGGGGAGCAGACAGG